rnacentral:rRNA from 1 species
UACCAGCACCCCGAGUGGUCGGGACGUUUAUUGGGCCUAAAGCAUCCGUAGCCGGUUCUACAAGUCUUCCGUUAAAUCCAACUGCUUAACAGGUGGGCUGCGGAAGAUACUAUAGAGCUAGGAGGCGGGAGAGGCAAGCGGUACUCGAUGGGUAGGGGUAAAAUCCGUUGAUCCAUUGAAGACCACCAGUGGCGAAGGCGGCUUGCCAGAACGCGCUCGACAGUGAGGGAUGAAAGCUGGGGGGAGCAAACCGG